CAGCAGCCGCGGUAAUACGUAGGUCCCGAGCGUUGUCCGGAUUUAUUGGGCGUAAAGCGAGCGCAGGCGGUUAGAUAAGUCUGAAGUUAAAGGCUGUGGCUUAACCAUAGUACGCUUUGGAAACUGUUUAACUUGAGUGCAAGAGGGGAGAGUGGAAUUCUAUGUGUAGCGGUGAAAUGCGUAGAUAUAUGGAGGAACACCGGUGGCGAAAGCGGCUCUCUGGCUUGUAACUGACGCUGAGGCUCGAAAGCGUGGGGCGCAAACAGGAUUAGAUACCCCCGUAGUCCCUGUCUCUUAUACA
rnacentral:rRNA from 1 species